rnacentral:lncRNA from 1 species
CUAACCCAAUCACCACGAAUUCUAUAAAAAGACCCCCUCAUCUUCUCCCAAAAGACCAUUUUCAUUUCUUCACGACAAAAUCUCAAUACUUUUUCUCAUUUAUUUUCCCUUUCUCUCUCUAACUCCCCAUUUCUGUGUUGAGAAAAGCUGCCUGGGUGCUUAGGCUAGAACUGGCUAACUCUCAGGAAACUCUGGAAGACAGUGAUUCCAGUAAUAGAAGGGUGGUGCUCGCCCUCUAUGAAGCCCUGAGCUCGCGUGACGUACGCACGGUGCACCAGAUUGUAGCUCCGGACAUCGAGUGGUGGUUCCAUGGUCCGCCGACCCACCAGUUCUUGAUGCGCCUCCUCACCGGCGACCAAAACGAAUCGUUUCAAUUCAGUCCCCAGUCCAUCGACUGCUUCGGGCCCACCGUCCUCGUCGAAGGCUGCGACCGAGAUUGCUCCAUCUCGUGGGUCCACGCUUGGACCGUCACUCAUGGGAUAGUCACCCAGGUCAGGGAGUACUUCAACACUUCCCUCACCGUAACCCGCCUCGGUAACAACACCUCUCCCUCUUCCUCCGCUCAAUCCUCGCCGUCCAGCUUCUCUUCCAAGUCCUCCUCAUCGACGGCCGAGAUUACAUCGUUCCAUUGCCCGUCCGUUUGGGAGAGCAGCGUCUCCGAUCGGGUCGGGAAGUCCGUGCCGGGUCUGGUCCUCGCAAUCUAAAGACCACAAUAAUCCCCUGCGGGCCCCUGUGCAGCGGGAUUCUACUUUAAGUAUUUACUAAUUACUAAAUAAGAGGGUGCUGACGUGUAGGCACCUUAUGGGCUGAAUCUACUGUGAAAUUGCGGUGCCGUAGUAGAAAUGUAAGCCCCUUGCUAUGUGUUGUUUGGUUUGUUUGUGGUUGUUUUUGCGUUUUAGUUUGUUUUUGGUUGUUUGUGUCUCUGGUUCUGGUGUUGGGUGGAGCCAAUGGGGUUGAGGAAACUCUUUUGGUCAUAUCCUGAAGCGUCUGUAGAAUUAUGGUACUCUCCUUUUUCAAUAAAGACGUGUUUGUUUAAUAUCCUUUGGUGGUUUUGGAUUCUUUACGAAUAUGCUAAGGUUUUUUAUUUUCGUAUCCUACAGAUAUAUAUUAUAUAGGCUUAAGCCAAGUAUAAACCCAUAUACAGGAGGUCAAAAAACUAGGUUGAAGAACCAGUUCCGCAGAAGCUGGGUCAGUCUGUCACAGACUCGCAGAGUAAACUGUUUGUAUUAUUAAUGAAGAGUUGCAGAUACAGUGCCACCUCUCUCAUCUUUUGGUAAAUGAACUGCAUUGACUUGUCGUUUAGCCAGUGAGGAUGGAGGAUUUGAAAGUUACAUAGUAAAUUCGUG